CCUUUUUAAAACUGCGGCAGUAUACACUGGAAAGGCAAAAAUCCUUACCAGAUAAAGAUUCCGUGCAAGAAAACAAGAAUGUGAUGCCCAGGGUGCCAAACCCCUGGCUCCAGAGUCCCGUCGUCGGGCUCCCCACACACAGAAACCGCUCACCGUAUUUCAGGGACCUACGGACUGCCCGGGAAAAAAGGAUUGAAAGAGGACCCUUCGGAUAUGACCCGGUUUUGCAGUCGGACUCAUUCCUCAAAGAAGAUUGUCUUCCAACACCAAGUCUUCUUUCCUUUCGGGGAAGCCAGCUCCUGUCUAGGCUGAAUGACUCUUCUGAUCUUUGACACUGGCAGAAGUGGACAAGGCAUGUUCUGUCAUUUCCACUGAUACUCAACGAUGUUCUCAGUAUGUUUACAAAGAUAAAGUACUUACUUAUCAAUCAACUUUA
rnacentral:lncRNA from 1 species